GGGGUUGUGGCUCAGGGGUAGAGCACUUGCCUAGUAUGCAUGAGGCACUGGGUUAGAUUCUUAGCACCA
rnacentral:tRNA from 1 species